rnacentral:rRNA from 1 species
GAGUUUGAUCCUGGCUCAGGAUGAACGCUGGCGGCGUGCUUAACACAUGCAAGUCGAACGAUGACCCCGUGCUUGCACGGGUGAUUAGUGGCGAACGGGUGAGUAACACGUGAGUAGCCUGCCCCUGACUCUGGGAUAAGCCCGGGAAACUGGGUCUAAUACCGGAUAUGACUGCUGGCCGCAUGGCCUGGUGGUGGAAAGAAUUUCGGUUGGGGAUGGACUCGCGGCCUAUCAGCUUGUUGGUGAGGUAGUGGCUCACCAAGGCGACGACGGGUAGCCGGCCUGAGAGGGUGACCGGCCACACUGGGACUGAGACACGGCCCAGACUCCUACGGGAGGCAGCAGUGGGGAAUAUUGCACAAUGGGCGCAAGCCUGAUGCAGCGACGCCGCGUGAGGGAUGACGGCCUUCGGGUUGUAAACCUCUUUCAGUAGGGAAGAAGCGAAAGUGACGGUACCUGCAGAAGAAGCGCCCGGCUAACUACGUGCCAGCAGCCGCGGUAAUACGUAGGGCGCAAGCGUUAUCCGGAUUUAUUGGGCGUAAAGAGCUCGUAGGCGGUUUGUCGCGUCUGCCGUGAAAGUCCGGGGCUUAACCCCGGAUCUGCGGUGGGUACGGGCAGACUAGAGUGAUGUAGGGGAGACUGGAAUUCCUGGUGUAGCGGUGAAAUGCGCAGAUAUCAGGAGGAACACCGAUGGCGAAAGCAGGUCUCUGGGCAUUAACUGACGCUGAAGAGCGAAAGCAUGGGGAGCGAACAGGAUUAGAUACCCUGGUAGUCCAUGCCGUAAACGUUGGGCACUAGGUGUGGGGAACAUUCCACGUUUUCCGCGCCGUAACUAACGCAUUAAGUGCUCCGCCUGGGGAGUACGGCCGCAAGGCUAAAACUCAAAGGAAUUGACGGGGGCCCGCACAAGCGGCGGAGCAUGCGGAUUAAUUCGUGC